GGGUAAGUGGCUGAGUGGUCUAAGGUAGCAGUUUUGAAAGCUGUCGUAAUUAAAAAUUGCCGUGGGUUCAAAUCCUACCUUAUCCU
rnacentral:tRNA from 1 species